CAGUAGCCGCGGUAAUACGUAGGUGGCGAGCGUUGUCCGGAAUUAUUGGGCGUAAAGGGAGCGCAGGCGGGCGGGUAAGUCUUUCUUAAAAGUGCGGGGCUCGACCCCGUGAGGGGAGAGAAACUACUCAUCUUGAGUGCAGGAGAGGAGAGCGGAAUUCCUAGUGUAGCGGUGAAAUGCGUAGAUAUUAGGAAGAACACCAGUGGCGAAGGCGGCUUUCUGGACUGUAACUGACGCUGAGGCUCGAAAGCCAGGGGAGCGAACGGGAUUAGAUACCCCAGUAGUCCCUGUCUCUUAUACC
rnacentral:rRNA from 1 species